rnacentral:lncRNA from 1 species
CAAGAACAAAGGAAAAAAAGGACGAACAAAACCUUAGGUGGAAAAAUUCAAGGGAAAAGUGUGAAAAUUCAAGGAAACAAGUGAAAAAAGGUAAGAUUUUUUUCAAUUAAGCUUGAGAUCUCUCUUUCUUAAGCAUUUUUUCUUAUUUUUCAUGGUUGAAUCAUAUGAAAUCAUGAUGAAUCCCUUACUGGCUGAACACUUAGAGGGAGGUUUUGAUGCUUGAUUUGGUUAGAUUUCAAUGUAUUUUAGUGUUUUUAGUUAGUUAGUGAUGUGUAGCAUGAAAAGCCAACAAGAAAAAUUCACUUCCUCCCAUCACCCAUCAUUGGUCGAAUUCUCCAUGUGGAAUAUUGAUGAUGAUUUUGAUUUUAUUUCAAGUGAUUUGGUUAGGAAUUAGUGAUUUAUGGUGUGAGAAUCAAGCUUGAAAAAUUAUAGUGUUGAUGCACCCACCAUGGCCGAAUUUUUCAAGAGAAAAUGUGAGGAUGAUUUUGCCAUAUUUCAAGUUAUUUAACUUGUGUUUGAUGGUUUGGAGAAUUGGAAGAAAAAUGGAGUUAAUUGGAGCUAAAUUGGACAUAUUGGCCAAUUAAUCGAGUGAUAGAUCGAAUUAGGCCAAUGCCGUUUUAUUUAGAUACACAAUUAAAUUUGUGUAGAACACCGUUUUUAGAUGAUAAUCCAAACAAUUUGCAUUCCAUUUCAUGCAUUAGUAUAAAGCCUGAAUUGGUUUUAUAACUAUUUAGCACAAAUGUAGUAAAUGGCUUAUUGUGCAUUAUGUCUAGGUGGUGAGCAUUCUGGCAAAAGUAAAGAGAUAGUACCCAAGUAUCAAGAAUCGGAGUACUUGGAAUUCGAUUUCCAUUACAGUGAGUAACCUUAUUAUCGUCUUAAUUAUCUAAAGUAAUUUUUAUUCGUUUUUGUGAUUUGAUAGAAAAAUGAGUUUAAAUGGCAAAUCUUUAUGUUUAUAAGCAAAAAUGUGAUUAAAUGAAAUGAUUUUAUAAAAUUUUCUUGAAAUUAAAUGAUGGUUUUGAAAAUGGAGUAAUUGGAGACUAAUUGUUGUGUUAUAAAUCAUGGUUUGAAUUGAAUGGCUUAUAAUAAUAUUGGCAUGAAUGGUUGAAUUGGUAAAUGUGCUGAAAAUGUAUGAACUGUUGAUUUGCCUUGAAAGGCUGUAAAACAUAAUAAUUGCCAUGUCAUGCUGUUGAAUUUUAUUGAAUUUGUGGGUUAUAAAUUGGUCACUGCAGUGAACAGGUUCUGUGGACCAACCUAUUAGAGGGGCAUGAUAACCCUAUUAUAUUCAUACCUCAGUAUGAGAGGCGCGGUUGGAUAACUCUUGAGGUUAAAACUUUAAAUUUCACUUCACGCCAAACCACCACGUGAGGGUGAACUCAGCCAACGCCAAGGAACGGCAAUGUUUUCAAAAUAAAAAAAAAACAUGAUUUAUGCGAACAUGACUUUUUAACAACCUUGGCAGACUUGGUUGGGAUAGCCCUCGGCCAAGGUAUCCCUGAUAACUGAGUAUGAGAAUGAUUUUGGCACGAGCCAAACUUUUCAGGAAAUCAUAGGCCUCAUUGUUUAUUUUGGUGAAAUGAAUCUAUUUUAUCUUAUUAAAAUGAGUUCGAAAUGCUGAGAAUCAUUUUUAUGUUAAUCUAUUUUAUCUGUCUCCAUUUACUCAGCUUUAGAUAUUUUAGAUGGUAUUUGUUUACUUACUGAGAUUAUAUAAUCUCAUCACCCUCCUUUCUACCCAUUUCAAGCUCAAGAUAGUCGGUAGAUAGCACAUUUCGUUGAGGGCUACAAUUGAACUUGCAUCCUUAAAAACUGUAGGUUUACCGCUUUUGAUACUUUUGGUCGUUCGUGGGCCCACGUGUCACUGUAAAUUAAAUCUUAUUCUUUGGUUAUCUGUAUUACAGUAUGUAUGAAUUUAUUUAGUUUUUACGCUACAAAAAUUAUUUACCGAUAACUCUAUAAAUAUUGUUUUAUAAGAAAAUAGAAUAUUUUAUUGAAUAUUUUUAUUAUAUUCAAAUAGUUAUAGUUUCACUUUAAAUGAAUGUUUUAGACAUCUAAACUUAUUUUUUAUUAUGAAAUAUAUUUUUUUUUCACUCGCAUACUACAUUUUUAGCUGGUUUUGAAAUUUUUGAGAAAAAUGACCAAAAUACCCCUAUGUAGUUGAAAUUUUUCUUUGACUAUUUUUGAAUUGAAAUUGGUUCAUAUCACUUUAAAACAUGAUUUUCGUAACUAAUACUCACAGGGGAAGCAAUAAAACUAAUAUUAAAGCCUUGCGGGGUUUCGGUUGGCAUUCUAGGCGAUGAAUGUCUAUCCGAAUAUCGCGGCAGUUGUCAUGGGUUCGAGGAGAGUACCGGGUUGUGACAGUAUUUCACUCAAGUAUCUAUGCAAUACUUCUCAUGUGUCAGUUGUGUAAAUACUCCAUAAACUUGAGACACCAGGUUGUCUUAUGUGUGGAGUGCUAUGCUUUGAUUUCAUCCCUAUGGGUGCCUAACCAAAGAUGCCAAAACAGGAUGCUUUUGGGUAUAGCAUGAAGCAUGUGAAGGCAAAUGAGUGGUCAAGAUAGGAAUCAUCACCCUAAGUGAUGCAGGGGACAUAUCCUAGCUGUUCUUGGUUGAUAUUAGCUUAUUGAAGUCCUUGGCCAAGGCGACUUGAAGAUUAUGAAAGGAGUUUCAUAAGUCUUUAUAAAGUUGAUGAUCAAACUUUAAGAAUGAAUAUGGAGAUCAAUAAGAGUAUACACUGCACCAUGCUCUUAUCAUCUCCAAGAUAUAUGAUGAGGGAAUGAAUUACCUUGAAAGGCUGAUCAUUGAAAGGUUGAGUCAAACCAUCUUGACUCCUAUAACAUUUGGGUGGCCAUGAUGGAUUGCUAGAUCCCAAUCUUGGUCUAUGAACUCUAAGUAGUUAACUUGAUUAAUGAUAAAUUUAAAGUAGUUUAAAUUUAUCUAAUUCUAAGUUUAACUUAAGAAUUAUAUGUUGAGUUCAUUGCCAACAUGUAAGAAGCCUAAUGGGUCACACACCUAAAAUGAAUGUUCAAAAUAAAAUGGGAGAGGUGAUUAAGUUGGACUUAAUCAAAUUAGAAGUUAUGAGCUUCUCAAGCACUUGAUUAAAAUUGUUUAAUUAAGUUGUGCCUAAUUAAUUAAAUUGUUUAAUUAAAUCAUUAGGCCUAAUUAAUUAAAUUGUUUAAUUCAGUCAUUGGGCCUAAUUAAUUAAAUUAAACAAUUAAGUUAUUGGGCCUAAUUGAUUAAAUUUGUUGAAUUAAGUCAUUGGGCAUAAUUGAUUAAAAUUGUUUAAUUAAAUAGCUGAGCUUAAUUAAUUAAAUUGUUUAAUUAAGUUAUUGGGCCUAAUCGAUCAAAUUAAACAAUUAAGUUAAUUGGGCUUCUUAAGGACUUAAUUAAAUUAUUUAAUAAAAUUAUUGGAUUAAUUGACAAUUACAAAAUAGUUUUGUAAUUAGGGUUUAAAAUUAAUCUAAGUUAUAAAUACCUUGCUAUAGCCUCCAAACAAGAGUGUGGAAAACGGCUGAAAAAAAAAAAGGAGUGAACGACACAUUAGAAAUUCUUUUGUCUUGCCAUUCCUUGUGUGAAGAAAAAUAGUUUUUCAUUUCAUUUCUUUUUGUGCAUUCCGCCCCACAAUUUUGUGUGGAUUAUGAGUUUAUGAAACUCAUCUUUGCUAGCACAUUGUCAAGGCAUAGCACUCCCAAUCCUUAAAGAAGGAUUUUUUCAUUCAUUGGUGUGGAUCACCAUUAAAGGCUAUACAAGGAUUCCUUGGACAGCUUUGGUUUGCAACAACCGGGCUGAGGUGGUUAAGCUUUUUGAAGGCUAAUUUGGUGGUUUAACAAAGGAUUCAUCAACCUUUGUUAUUUAGGUAAAGUGAUAUGAUCAUAUACUUUUAUUUUAGUUUAAUUUUGUACUCAAUUUAGCAUGAAAGAGAUCCUAGGAAGGUGAGGCGUAAUUUAAUUUUUCAAAUUUAUUUUCGCUGCGAUUUAUUUAUAUUUGAUUCAUGAUCAGCCCUCACCCAACAAUGGUAUUAGAGCCCCUUUCAUGCCAUUUGAGUGCUUGUUCGUGUUCAAUGGAUGCUUGAUUAACAAAUAGUUGUUUUGUAUUUUGAUUUGGUGCGAUUUUGUUAAAAUCAAUUUUUAAAAAAUAUCUGCUUUACCAAUUUCAUUUAAUUCUGUCCAGCAACUUUUGUACCCUCCUUUAAUCUUAUCUUAACUUAUUUAAAUCAUAUAUAGACUUAACUAAUGUGAGUUUUACAUUGUGCUAAGGAAGCACAAGAAAAAGGGACACCAUAAGGCACGGUUUUGGAGGCUGUCUUGCAAGGCAGCACACACACGGUUUUAGGUGCAGAAUUUUGCUUCUAGUUGUGCUUAAUUUCCAGCAAAUAAAAUAUGUAAUUGUUACACAUUUAUUGUUAGAUAUGUGGACAGCAAAAUCAUGAAAUGUUCAGGCUGAUUUUAAGCAAGAAAUUGGAGCAAAAAGUGAAAGCAGUCCAGCUCACUGUUAUGACAUGAAUUUCAGUUUUAAUUAACAAGAAAGUCUUGGAAAUUAAUUCUGAAAAAUUCCAGGAAAAUUAUCUUUAUUAAAAUGUUCAAUAAGGAUUAUUUUUGAAAAAUAUCAUGGUCAAAUAUUGCUGAUUUCGAGCA